CGGAGGAGGAGGCGAGGCAAGACCUGCGGCUCCGCGGGGCUACUGCCGCGGUAGCUCUAGGCAACCCCACGGAGCUACGCCGGUCUCAGUCAUUCCGCGAGCCUCUCGCCGCCUGUCCAUCCUUCCAUCCGCCUAUCCGCCCGACUGGUCUAGGGCGGCCUAGUCUGCAUCAUCUGCCGGGCUUCUGGGGCCGCCGCCCCGCGCGGUCGCAUCGGCGUCCCUGGCCGCGCCCGGCCCCUGGCCCGCUCGCCCGCCGGCACCAUGAUGGAGGAGAUCGACCGGUUCCAGGUGCCCACCGCGCACUCGGAGAUGCAGCCGCUGGAUCCAGCCGCAGCCUCUAUCUCAGACCGAGACUGUGACGCCCGGGAGGAGAAGCAAAGGGAGCUGGCCCGGAAGGGCUCCCUGAAAAACAGCAGCAUGGGCA
rnacentral:lncRNA from 1 species